AUUUUUCUAUAUUAUUAAUAAUUGGAAUACAGCUGAAGAACAUUUAAUACCUGCAGAAUGCCUCCACAUGGCUGUGAUGUGUGUUUUUUUCUCAUAGUAUUGUCCACAUGUGGUCAGGUCAGAUCGGUGCUCUCUGCUCCUCGGGGAACCAUCACACAAUCAGAUCACUCUUCUGCUACAGUACCUCAGCAUCAAUAGCUGACGUGGAUUUUAGUGACUGCAAAUUAUUUCAGAUGAUUAACUGAAUGAAAUUCUCCUGGUCCUAUGCUGAAAUAUUCCAGUACAUGGUGCGUUCAAGUGACGACAUCAGUAGCUAGUCAAGUCAGCGUUUUCAUACAGGUUAUAAAUGCACUUCCUUAUUCAAGCAUUUUCUGAUGCUUGUUCACUCAAGCCAGUUGAGAUGCAGUGAAUAGCUCAGCUGCUGGGCUGUUUUAGAUGGGCUUUAACUGCCUCUUAUCUGUAGUUACAGCCCAAGUGGAUGAGGAUUUACUGUUUAGCCAUGAGGCUAUUGCUUUAAAUCAUUUUCACAACACACGCACACACUCUCAGCCCAUAAGCUAUUUACUGUUGACAGCACUGUUAAGGGCUUUUUUGUUAAAUACAAUUGCCUUAUCGAUUGUAAACAAUCUUGAAUUCUGCAUUAAUCCCCAGUUCACCUCCAUAAAACACACGAAAACACACAUGCAUCAUUGUUUAUAGACCUGUCAUUUUUUCCUCAAGUAUCACUGUAAUAUCAGCUCUUAUUUGUGUCGGUUACUGCUACAUAUAUAUAUUUAUUAAUUUAUUUAAAAAUACAAUUAAUGACAAAUUACAUAUAUUUGGUUUUAUAAUAAGCUACUUAUUAUAAGGAAGGGUGAUUUGGAUGAAAUAGUGAUUUUCAUGCUAGUUCUGUUUCUGUGUCAGAUUCACCAAUUCAGCAGAUUGUCAGUUAAAGAUGACCAAAACAUGAUGAGUACGCAACAGAUAGCAACAGUGAGUGAGCGGAGCGAUACUGAAAGGUUACAUCCCUCAUUCAUGACCCAGACAUCAUUAUCAAGUCCCCCAAUGCACACCCGAAAUAUCCCUUUCUCCAGCGCACAAAUCAGUGUAACUCUGAAAGGAAGUUUGACUGAAAUGUCAGAGAAACAUUUUCCCUCACCUUUAAAUGUCACUUCCUGCUCUUUCCUGCUGAUGUACUCGCAGAGACAUUCAGCUGUAGAUCUGAGUUUUUAGAAAGAGAGCUUUCGAACUGACUUGAUUGUAGCUGUUUUAACUUUGUUCUGUUAAGGUAGGUGGUGUUAUGAUAUGAAUGUUUAUGUGGGAUAAGGCUUUGAUAUUGUGAAGGCUGUUCUUUUCCGAUAUGAAGACACUCUCUGUAAUGAAUGCAGGAUUUCAGUCUAGGUGUCGCCAGCACAUUUCGUCAGAUGUCACAACAGUGUACGUCAUCCUGUGAUAUCCAGGGGUUGUUUUCAGUACAGGCGCCUCGGCUCACUCACAUUCAAUUUCUACGAUACCCUGGGAUUUACGUGUGUCUGUCUGAAUGUUGGUUGAGAAGUCAUCUCAAACUACUUAUAUGAUCACUUUACAUUUACGCACGAACUUACUGGAGUUUUCCCAGUGAAAAAGAUUUUCAGUAUGUUGACUGUCACAUUUUAAAUGUUUUUGGAUGCAAUGGUUGUUAAACCUGUUAAUGCCAUAUCAGAAUGAAUAUAUACAUAUUUUAUGUAUAUACUGCAUUUAUUUGUUUAAAAUAUAUAAAUAUAAACCUAUAAAUAAAA